CACCCACAUUUAUAGACUAUUAGCUGCACAAAUGACUCCCCAUUACAUUGAAGCAUUUACUUUCAACUUCAAAUCAUUAAGCAUAUAUUAACACGCCUAAUUUAUUAUAAAUACAUUUCUUACCAUGGAGAGAUGUGUUCUACUGCUUCUUAUAACAGUAACAGGUAUAUUUGCUGAUAACAUUCAACCAAAGGACAAGGACAAUAUAAUCAGUAAAGAAGGAGAGUCUGUGACACUGAGCUGCACAUAUGAUGCAAGCAGUAACAAUAUUAUGCUUUACUGGUACAGACAGUAUCCCAAAACACAACCUCAGUAUUUACUGUGGAAAGGUGCUCGAUCAUGGAGCAACAGUGAGGAUAUACCAGACCGCCGGUUUCAGUCAAUUAUAUCUGAAUCAUCCACUGAACUCACUAUUGCCAGAGUAACUUUGUCAGAUUCAGCUCUCUAUUAUUGUGCUCUAAGAGUUGGAGCCCAGUGAUACAAAAUGCCUGAGAGGCUUUACAAAAACUCACACCCAAACUAAUUGCUUUGAACUGUAUUUGAUCAACUGAAAAUCAA